rnacentral:sRNA from 1 species
GCUGGGCACAGUGGUGCACACCUGUAAUCCCUGCCACUUGGGAAGCUGAGGCAGGAGGAUCACGUGAUGCCAGGGUUCAAGUCCAGCCUGGGCAACAUUGUCAGACUGUCUUCU